UGACAAUUAUAGAGAGGCUUUACUGUACAAUUAGCAAUCGAUGUUAAAACCAAAUCCAAAGUCAAUGAAGUCAUCGAAUUGAAACUCAACAGUUGAUUAAAUUCGAAAUUUGAGUUACCUUUUCAGUGCAGCCUUGGUCAAGAAUGGAUUUGAAAGUUCCUUUGUCCUUCCAAUCCCCUCCUCAGCCACCACACAAUGAAACAAAAGCAAAAAAAAAAAAAAAAAUUAAA